rnacentral:sRNA from 1 species
CAUCUUCAAACCCCGGUUCCUGUGAUUCCAUAUGGAGAUGUUUCUCCCUUAUAUGGGAAUAUUAAUGAACGUGUUGGUUUUUGGCUUCCAAGAACUAGUGAUGGGACUGGGACUUACUUUCCAAAGACAAAUUUUUCAAGUUAUUACGAGUCUCAGCCAAGGUUUUGCAAGAAAAAUCGUCUUCCGCUAAGUCCAUACAUCCAAAAUCCCAAAUAUGAAAAGAAGAAUAACCAUAGUGAAAGGG